UACGUAGGGUGCGAGCGUUGUCCGGAAUUAUUGGGCGUAAAGGGCUCGUAGGCGGUCUGUCGCGUCGGGAGUGAAAACUCAGGGCUUAACCCUGAGCCUGCUUCCGAUACGGGCAGACUAGAGGUAUGCAGGGGAGAACGGAAUUCCUGGCGUAGCGGUGAAAUGCGCAGAUAUCAGGAGGAACACCGGUGGCGAAGGCGGUUCUCUGGGCAUUACCUGACGCUGAGGAGCGAAAGUGUGGGGAGCGAACAGG
rnacentral:rRNA from 1 species